UACUAGAGUAGCACUCGCAUAUCAAUAAGCGGAGGAAAAGAAACUAACAAGGAUUCCCCUAGUAACGGCGAGUGAAGCGGGAAGAGCUCAAAUUUGAAAUCUUAAAGGGUUUCCCUUUACGAAUUGUAGUUUAAAGAAGUGUUUUCUGUUGAGGUUUUGGUAAAAGUUCUUUGGAAUAGGACAUCAUAGAGGGUGAGAAUCCCGUAUUUGACCUUUACUUUCAACUUUGUGAUACACUUUCAAAGAGUCGGAUUGUUUGGGAAUGCAGGUCCAAAAUGGGUGGUAAAUUUCAUCUAAAGCUAAAUAUUGGCGAGAGACCGAUAGCGAACAAGUACCGUGAGGGAAAGAUGAAAAGAACUUUGAAAAGAGAGUUAAACAGUACGUGAAAUUGUCAAAAGGGAAGCGUUUGACACCAGUGUUGUUUUUCUGAAAAUCAAUUAAAGAACUGUUUAUGCUAAGUUGUUUAGACUUUAUCAGCUAACUGUUUAGUUUUGAGCUUUUCUUUAAUGCACUUUUCAGUUAACAAGUCAACAUCAAUUUCUUUUGCUGUAAAAAAGCUUGAGGAAGGUGGCUUGAGAUUCGUCUUAAGUGUUUAUAGCCUCUUGCCUAUGCAGUCGGAGAGAUUGAGGUCUGCAGCGUAGAUCCUUCGGGGCUAAAUGCAUUUGUGCUAAGUUAUAGCAUUUUAUAGACAACUUGUUGACUAUGAUUUGUCUUGUAGCUUACUCGCUUAUGUUAUUUUACCUACGCUUAGGAUGUUGAGCGCAUGUCUCUCUCU
rnacentral:rRNA from 1 species